rnacentral:tRNA from 3 species
CGGGGUGUAGCGUAGCCCGGUAUCGCGUCUGCUUUGGGAGCAGAAGGCCGUCAGUUCGAAUCUGGCCACCCCGACUA